GACGAACGCUGGCGGCGUGCCUAAUACAUGCAAGUCGAGCGGAUGAUGGAGGAGCUUGCUCCUCCUGAUUCAGCGGCGGACGGGUGAGUAACACGUGGGCAACCUGCCCUGUAGUUUGGGAUAACUCCGGGAAACCGGGGCUAAUACCGAAUAAUCCACCGGACCUCAUCGUCGGGUGUUGAAAGACGGCAUCUCGCUGCCACUACAGGAUGGGCCCGGGGCGCAUUAGCUAGUUGGUGAGGUAACGGCUCACCAAGGCCACGAUGCGUAGCCGACCUGAGAGGGUGAUCGGCCACACUGGGACUGAGACACGGCCCAGACUCCUACGGGAGGCAGCAGUAGGGAAUCUUCCACAAUGGACGAAAGUCUGAUGGAGCAACGCCGCGUGAGUGAAGAAGGUUCUCGGAUCGUAAAACUCUGUUGUGAGGGAAGAACAAGUACCGGAGUAACUGCCGGUACCCUGACGGUACCUCAUUAGAAAGCCACGGCUAACUACGUGCCAGCAGCCGCCGUAAGAC
rnacentral:rRNA from 1 species